UACAGAGGGGGCGAGCGUUGUUCGGAAUCACUGGGCGUAAAGGGUGCGUAGGCUGUCGGUUAAGUCUGAUGUGAAAUCCCCCGGCUCAACUGGGGAAUGGCAUUGGAAACUAGCUGACUGGAGUACCGGAGAGGGAAGCGGAAUUCCUGGUGUAGCGGUGAAAUGCGUAGAUACCAGGAGGAACACCGGUGGCGAAGGCGGCUUCCUGGCCGAGUACUGACGCUGAGGCACGAAAGCGUGGGGAGCGAACGGG
rnacentral:rRNA from 1 species